rnacentral:rRNA from 1 species
UCGGGAUAAGCCUGGGAAACGUGGGUCUAAUACCGGAUAGGAGCCAUUUUUAGUGUGAUGGUUGGAAAGUUUUUUCGGUGUAGGAUGAGCUCGCGGCCUAUCAGCUUGUUGGUGGGGUAAUGGCCUACCAAGGCGGCGACGGGUAGCCGGCCUGAGAGGGUGGACGGCCACAUUGGGACUGAGAUACGGCCCAG